ACAGUACAUCACCUUCAUGAGCGCAUCAGUGAACACCAGUCUAAGGAAGACAUCUCUGAACGUAAUUUUGGAGAUUUUGAUGAGUUCCAUUGAAACAAGGAGGAAUGUGAUGUCCAGUAUCAGUUCUGCAGACCCAAGGACAAAGAAAAUUCUGUGAUAAACUCAUCCAGUGUGACUGUAAUGUGGGUAUCUAUUUGAUACCUCCAAGUAACUGUUUAUUCUUGUGCCAGUUGAGUAGAUGGUACGGGCCAGUUGGUGUUGAUUAGUGAACCACGGACAAAGGGCAUAUGUCACAUGAGUUGCUCCUGGAUAAAGUCACCCAGUCACUUCCUGAUGAAUAUCCUGCAUAAACUCCAAAGACAAAAGAGAGUUAAGGUUGUUUUUCUCACCUUAGACCAGGCAGUGAUAGAAGAACUGGGGGAAGAGAUAAUUGUAUUUAUCUUGGUGAGGGUGACAAAUCAUGGCAAAUGAGCAAAAUGAAAAAGGUUUGCAGAUUUCAACAAACUUCUAAAAGAUCAGCUUACAGUCAUGUAUACAUCUCUUCCUUUGUUUCUAGUUUAUUUGCAUCUCAUUACUAUGUUCUCGGUUUAGGAUACAAGACACCGGACUUUCAAAUCAACAAUUGUUUCAAAAGACUCCUACUGGAUUCCUGCUAGUGAUGGGAGAAAAUUAUCAUUCUGUGAGUUGUCAAUAAAUGUUUAACCACAGUUCACCUUUUUUGGAUUUUAAGAUGUCUGCGCCACUAGGACGCUCAGAAAAAUUACCCUCCAAAUGCUACUUGGAGGAGGAUUCAGUACCACCCUGAGAAGGCAACCAGCUACAACCUUGGUUGUAGUUUCGGUUGCAGAAAGAGCGUGAAGUGUGCAACUCAUGUCUGUCUUCAUUUUAAUAGGCUAGUUAAUCUGUAGCCAGAGAUGAUUAAGGAGGUCAUUAAAGGAAAACAAGCUGCCCACCAUGCUGAUGCCUGGUUGUUCAGAUCGUUGAGGUGGUGUAGAGAUGACGCACACUGGCUCAGUUUACCCACAUUUGGAUCUACGGACCUGCAAGUCCUCUGUCAUGACACACCAGCCCUGGGAUAUCACAUAAGCUACAGGUCAGACGCUGCUUUCCAGACAGAAUUAUGGAGAAGACAACCAUCAUUUUGGCCCUGCUGGAAAUUUUCCAUGCUCUUCAUUCGUUCUCCUGUAUUUCCUAACGCCAAUAAAAGAGGAGAUCCCUGA
rnacentral:lncRNA from 1 species